UACAGAGGUCUCAAGCGUUGUUCGGAUUCAUUGGGCGUAAAGGGCGCGUAGGCUGCGGGGCAAGUCGGGUGUGAAAUCUCAGAGCUCAACUCUGAAACUGCACUCGAUACUGCUUUGCUCGAGGACUGGAGAGGAGAUUGGAAUUCACGGUGUAGCAGUGAAAUGCGUAGAUAUCGUGAAGAAGACCAGUGGCGAAGGCGGAUCUCUGGACAGUUCCUGACGCUGAGGCGCGAAGGCCAGGGGAGCAAACGGG
rnacentral:rRNA from 1 species